rnacentral:rRNA from 1 species
GACGAACGCUGGCGGCGUGCUUAACACAUGCGAGUCGAACGGUAAGGCUCCAGCUUGCUGGGGUACACGAGUGGCGAACGGGUGAGUAACACGUGGGUGACCUGCCCUGCACUUCGGGAUAAGCCUGGGAAACUGGGUCUAAUACCGGAUAGGACCAUGGUGUGGAUACUGUGGUGGAAAGUUUUUUCGGUGUGGGAUGGGCCCGCGGCCUAUCAGCUUGUUGGUGGGGUAAUGGCCUACCAAGGCGGCGACGGGUAGCCGGCCUGAGAGGGUGGACGGCCACAUUGGGACUGAGACACGGCCCAGACUCCUACGGGAGGCAGCAGUGGGGAAUAUUGCACAAUGGGCGGAAGCCUGAUGCAGCGACGCCGCGUGCGGGAUGACGGCCUUCGGGUUGUAAACCGCUUUCGCCUGUGACGAAGCGUGAGUGACGGUAAUGGGUAAAGAAGCACCGGCUAACUACGUG